rnacentral:rRNA from 1 species
GAUGAACGCUAGCGGCAGGCUUAACACAUGCAAGUCGAGGGGUAUAGUAGCAAUACUAGAGACCGGCGCACGGGUGCGUAACGCGUAUGCAAUCUACCUUUCACAGAGGGAUAGCCCAGAGAAAUUUGGAUUAAUACCUCAUAGUAUAACACAAUCGCAUGGUUGAGUUAUUAAAGUCACAACGGUGAAAGAUGAGCAUGCGUCCCAUUAGCUAGUUGGUAUGGUAACGGCAUACCAAGGCUACGAUGGGUAGGGGUCCUGAGAGGGAGAUCCCCCACACUGGUACUGAGACACGGACCAGACUCCUACGGGAGGCAGCAGUGAGGAAUAUUGGACAAUGGGCGCAAGCCUGAUCCAGCCAUGCCGCGUGCAGGAUGACGGUCCUAUGGAUUGUAAACUGCUUUUGCACAGGAAGAAACAACGCUACGUGUAGCGUCUUGACGGUACUGUGAGAAUAAGGAUCGGCUAACUCCGUGCCAGCAGCCGCGGUAAUACGGAGGAUCCAAGCGUUAUCCGGAAUCAUUGGGUUUAAAGGGUCCGUAGGCGGUCUUAUGAGUCAGUGGUGAAAUCUCCCCGCUCAACGGGGAAACGGCCAUUGAUACUGUAAGACUUGAAUUAUUAGGAAGUAACUAGAAUAUGUAGUGUAGCGGUGAAAUGCUUAGAGAUUACAUGGAAUACCAAUUGCGAAGGCAGGUUACUACUAAUGGAUUGACGCUGAUGGACGAAAGCGUGGGUAGCGAACAGGAUUAGAUACCCUGGUAGUCCACGCCGUAAACGAUGGAUACUAGCUGUUGGGCGCAAGUUCAGUGGCUAAGCGAAAGUGAUAAGUAUCCCACCUGGGGAGUACGAACGCAAGUUUG